rfam:Danio rerio chromosome 24, GRCz11 reference primary assembly.
UUGGGAUAUGGAGAUAUGUACCCGGAGACGUGGUCUGGGAUGCUGGUGGGGGCGCUGUGUGCGCUGGCGGGCGUGUUGACCAUCGCUAUGCCCGUUCCUGUGAUCGUCAAUAAC